ACUCCUACGGGAGGCAGCAGUGGGGAAUUUUGGACAAUGGGCGAAAGCCUGAUCCAGCCAUGCCGCGUGCAGGAUGAAGGCCUUCGGGUUGUAAACUGCUUUUGUACGGAACGAAAAGACUCUGGUUAAUACCUGGGGUCCAUGACGGUACCGUAAGAAUAAGCACCGGCUAACUACGUGCCAGCAGCCGCGGUAAUACGUAGGGUGCAAGCGUUAAUCGGAAUUACUGGGCGUAAAGCGUGCGCAGGCGGUUAUAUAAGACAGAUGUGAAAUCCCCGGGCUCAACCUGGGAACUGCAUUUGUGACUGUAUAGCUAGAGUACGGCAGAGGGGGAUGGAAUUCCGCGUGUAGCAGUGAAAUGCGUAGAUAUGCGGAGGAACACCGAUGGCGAAGGCAAUCCCCUGGGCCUGCACUGACGCUCAUGCACGAAAGCGUGGGGAGCAAACAGGAUUAGAUACCCUGGUAGUCCACGCCCUAAACGAUGUCAACUGGUUGUUGGGUCUUCACUGACUCAGUAACGAAGCUAACGCGUGAAGUUGACCGCCUGGGGAGUACGGCCGCAAGGUUGAAACUGAAAGGAAUUGACGG
rnacentral:rRNA from 1 species